UACAGAGGUCCCGAGCGUUGUUCGGAUUCACUGGGCGUAAAGCGUGCGUAGACGGUAGCGUAAGUCGGGUGUGAAAGCCCCGGGCUCAACCUGGGAAUUGCAUUCGAGACUGCUCUGCUAGGGUGCGGAAGAGGGGAGCGGAAUUUCCGGUGUAGCGGUGAAAUGCGUAGAUAUCGGAAGGAACACCAGUGGCGAAAGCGGCUCCCUGGUCCAGCACCGACGUUCAGGCACGAAAGCGUGGGGAGCAAACAGG
rnacentral:rRNA from 1 species